rnacentral:rRNA from 1 species
UUGUGAAGAGGGAAACAACCCAGACCGCCAGCUAAGGUCCCAAAGUACUAGUUAAGUGGGAAACGAUGUGGAAAGGCAUAGACAGCUAGGAGGUUGGCUUAGAAGCAGCCAUCCUUUAAAGAAAGCGUAAUAGCUCACUAGUCGAGUCGGUCUGCGCGGAAGAUGUAACGGGGCUAAACUAGUCACCGAAGCUGCGGAUUCAUAGUUUACUAUGAGUGGUAGGGGAGCGUUGUGUAAGCCGUUGAAGGUGAAUUGAGAAGUUUGCUGGAGGUAUCACAAGUGCGAAUGCUGACAUGAGUAACGAUAAGGGGGGGAGUGAAAAACUCCCCCCGCCGAAAGACCAAGGUUUCCUGUCCCAUGUUAAUCAGGGCAGGGUAAGUCGGCCCCUAAGGCGAGGCGGAAACGCGUAGUCGAUGGGAAACAGAUUAAUAUUUCUGUACUUCUAUAUAUUGCGAAGGAGGGACGGAGUAGGCUAGGUGAGCACAGUGUUGGUUAUCUGUGUGAAAGUGCGUAGGCUGAGUGUUUAGGUAAAUCCGGACACUCUUAAGGCUGAGACACGAGACGAGAACCCAAGGGUUUGAAGUCAUUGAUGCCAUGCUUCCAGGAAAAGCUUCUAAGCUUCAGAUAUAUAGGAACCGUACCCCAAACCGACACAGGUGGUUAGGUAGAGAAUACUAAGGCGCUUGAGAGAACUCGGGUGAAGGAACUAGGCAAAAUAGUACCGUAACUUCGGGAGAAGGUACGCCCUCACUGGUGAUGGAAUUUACUUCCUAAGCUGGCGAGGGUCGAAGUAACCAGGUGGCUGGAACUGUUUAUUAAAAACACAGCACUGUGCAAAAUCGAAAGAUGACGUAUACGGUGUGACGCCUGCCCGGUGCCGGAAGGUUAAUUGAUUGGGUUAGCAUUAGCGAAGCUCAUGAUCGAAGCCCCCGGUAAACGGCGGCCGUAACUAUAACGGUCCUAAGGUAGCGAAAUUCCUUGUCGGGUAAGUUCCGACCUGCACGAAUGGCGUAAUCAUGGCCACACUGUCUCCACCCGAGACUCAGUGAAAUUGAAUUUGCGGUUAAGAUGCCGUAUACCCGCGGCUAGACGGAAAGACCCCCGUGAACCUUUACUAUAGCUUGACAGUGAACAUUGCUCCUACAUGUGUAGGAUAGGUGGGAGACUUUGAAACCAGGACGCCAGUCUUGGUGGAGUCAACCUUGAAAUACCACCCUUGUAUGCGUGAUGUUCUAACCUAGGGCCCUAAUCGGGCUUGGGGACACUGUCUGGUGGGUAGUUUGACUGGGGCGGUCUCCUCCCAAAGAGUAACGGAGGAGCACGAAGGUUGGCUAAGUAUGGUCGGACAUCAUACGGUUAGUGCAAUGGCAUAAGCCAGCUUAACUGCGAGACAGACAC